rnacentral:lncRNA from 1 species
GGUGAGUAUUCUGGAGAAAGAAACAAUAACUGUGUUACUUAAGUUUCCUGGAAAACUGAGUCACAGUUUUGGAGUUCACGGAACCUUGCCUUCAGAAAUUCACCUAUAAGGGGGUUAGAGUAAGAUACAUGGAGAGAAGGGGCAAUUUAAUGGUGAUGCAAUAAAAAUGGACCCCACGAGAGUUCUGGGGUUGGCGUGGCCCUGCAGAGCUGUUCCAAACUGAGGCCAGAGUUGUGUGUUUGUUUUCCCAGGUUGACUGUCCUUGGAAGUCCUUCUUCUUAGGAAGACAUUUCCUUGAGCUAGAUGGCUCCAUUAGCCUAGACAAUUCAUGGGGAGAAACUUCUCAAUAAGCCCUCCACGCCCAACUCUAUGACAGAGGGAAUAAUAAAUAUCUCAAACUCAAGGGGCAUUUUGGGUGACACACCCCCAGAUCUACUACCUACUCCCAAGCUGAAGCAGUUAGAAGACCCUGCCCAGUUUUCCAGUCUUUCCUUCAGCAACGAGUGUGAAGACCUUAAGUCAAAGUGGAGAAAUCCUCAUCACUAACCCAUGUAUUAGGACAGUCACUGCCUGGGAGAACUGUCUGUUUUAGAAUAGGCAUGGGAUUGGUGAGAUCUAAAUUGGGGAUGUAAGCCACUGAGUUUGCUUUGACCACAGCAUCAUCCUGGUCUAAACCAAUUAUUUCCAAAUUGCUAAUUAACAUCUCAAAAUGAAAUUCUCACUCUCUACUUCUCCAAACCUACUAUUUUCCACUCUUCAGGAUCUUAAUAAAUGGAAGUUCCAUUCCUCCUGUUUGUAAGUUGAAAACUCACAUGCCACCCUGAGUCUAUCACAAAUAGUCACCUCUUCCUUCAGAAGAAAGCCAGAUGCUAACCACGUCUCACCAGCUGCUACAUCCCUCCAUUAUUAACCCUGCUCUAAGCUACAUUUCUCUUCAGAUUAUUAGAGAGCUUCUUAAUAAUUUCCAGUGUCUGUUCUUACCAUUAUGUGUUGUUAGCACAGACGACAGGAUCAUCCUGUAAGACAGACUCUACUCAAAACCCUACAGGGGCCCACAUCUCAUUUAGGGUAAAAGCCAAAACCUUCGAGGAGCUACAAGGCCUUACCUGAUCUGGACCCGAAUCACUUCUCCGAGCAAUUCCUACACCCUGCUUCCUCUGGCUCAAGCUGCCUUCCUCCAUGUCAUCAGCAUUUUGGAAACCCGUCUGGUUCAGAGCCUUCGCAUUCCUUGUUCUCCAGCCUGGAAUGACCCUCCCGGGCUACUCACUAGGGUUGGCACUUUCCUGAAGGCACUGUGUUCAGAUGUCAUCCUGACAAUGAGUCUCUCUCUGAUCACCAACUAUUUUUAGAAACAUACAUAAAAUCAUUCUACUUUAUAGUUCUCCAGAGCAUUUAUAGCAUCAUAAAACAUAUUAUAAAUUUAUUUUUAAGUAAAUGAAAGAUAAGCCACAUUUGGGCAGAACUUCCUCUAUUCCUCAGCACUCUAUCUGCUUCUCAGAUUAGCUAUAGCACUCAAUAAACAUUGAAUGUUAGACAUUCUUCUGAA